rnacentral:rRNA from 1 species
CAGCAGCCGCGGUAAUACGAAGGGUGCAAGCGUUAAUCGGAAUUACUGGGCGUAAAGCGUGCGUAGGCGGUUCGUUAAGUCUGCUGUGAAAUCCCCGGGCUCAACCUGGGAAUGGCAGUGGAUACUGGCAAGCUAGAGUGUGUCAGAGGAUGGUGGAAUUCCCGGUGUAGCGGUGAAAUGCGUAGAGAUCGGGAGGAACAUCAGUGGCGAAGGCGGCCAUCUGGGACAACACUGACGCUGAGGCACGAAAGCGUGGGGAGCAAACAGGAUUAGAUACCCGAGUAGUCCCUGUCUCUUAUAC